CUUGUAACAUCUGAACAGGAAUGAUCUCCAUGAAUAGCCAGGUUAGGCUAAGUGACCAACAGGAGCACCAGAGCAUCGAAACCGGCUCACGGAGCAUUGCUUUGGGGAGGAGAGGGGGCUUGGUUACCGUCGGAUAGACUGGUUUGUCUGCUCCGUUCACAACUUGUCCCUUAGGACUUCAGCAACUUCSCAGACCUCCCGUUCUCCUUUUCCCCCCAGCUGURGUUUGAAAGGACAGUUCCUCUCUGCA